GGGUGCUCCUCCCGCCGCCCCCCCCCCACUCCGGUGGCUCAUAAAAGCCCCGAGGCAGAGGCAGGGCAGCUUUCCCAGCCCCUCUGCUUGCAAAGGUGACCCAGGGACAGGAGGAUACAAUCCUGUCUCUUUUCUGAGAAAUCCUAACACAGAGGUCUCUGAAGAACAGGGGAUUCAGGGUACCAACAAAAGCCCAGAGCUGAGAGCAGACAGGAGUGCACAAAGGCAGGCUGUGUUGGAUGGGAAAUGAAUACCAUUCGGGUGCAGAGGCAUGACUACACGCAAACUAUGCUGAAGACCGAAAUCAACUGACAUGUUCACUCUGGAGGAAUCCCCCAGAGUACCAGCAGAAUGCAUUAACAGUGCACUUCUCCAGUGAGCUGUGAUGCGAAGAGCACAGAGCAAAAAAGAAGGUAAAGUAGUUAAAAACAACUUGUAUUUUUAGACCCCAGUCUCCCACAGAAAUCUUUGGAGAUGCUGAGCUCUCCACUUCUGAAAAUUGGGCCUCUUAUUUGAAAGCAGAAAUAAUGUUUUAGAAGCCCAGCUGAGACUCCUGGUUUUUUUUAAAACUGUCCAUAAUAUUUUUCUCUAGACCAAUUUGCUGUCCUGAUAAUUAAGCUAGCUAAUGGCUGGGGUUUUUUUACUUCAUCAGCAGUUUUGCUUUUUGUUAACACAAGCAGAGAGAACAUGAAGAAACAAUCUCUCGAAGGAUACAGACUGACAGCAAUAUUGCCAUCUGACUAAAAAGAACUCAGACAUACGCAUAAUCCUCAGGAAAAUUCAUCUCCACCCUCCCAACAGACCCUGGUGAGAGCCCUUGAAGUGGUAAUUAAAGUCUAUUGAGUGGCAACUGCACCUGUUUAGAGAGGAGAGUGCGGGUAAGAGGUGCACAAAGGGAGAAGAGCAGCACGGAGAGGGAGCGUGUGAGAGAGGAGCUGCUGGAGGUGGGGAAGAAGGGAAGUGGAAAGAAGAAAAAAAAAGUGUUUGUUGGAGAAGUCAAUCCAAUAAGAUGUGCAUUUCCUAUUCUUCCCCUUUUUUGCUUUCUGCACCCCUUCACACACACAGCCAGCUUCUACCCCACUCUCACACCCACUGAUGGAAACUCCAGGGGGUUUUCCCCAGCCAGCCUGAGCCCUGGACCAGCUGCUCUUCUGGUGUAAAUCAACAUAGUUUCACUAAAGUCCUUGCGGACUUAAAAUCAGCUAGUGCUCAUUUACGCCAGCUGAAGAUCUGUCCCAGUGACGCUCAUUAACAGUCACUGGGCUCCUCAGGCUGGCAGCCAGGACAUGCCAGUUCUUGUCUUUUUUCCCUAGAAGGGAGCACAUCCCUUUGUGUUGCCUUUAUCACUCCAGUGCAAAUCCUACAGCAUCUGGGAGGAGUAAAUCAGAGAUGUUUCUAGAUUUCGGCAGACGUGUCUGAGAGCAGAGUCUAGGCAGAAACUGAGGGAAAUGGAAGAAACUAGAGAGGUGCAAUGCCGUGUUACCAGUAAAGCUGCUCGUUUUGCAUACAUGCAUGGCUCCCAAACGUUCUGACCCAGUGUCACCUCAAACGUCCCUGGGGUCUAUAGCCGAAGCCAUGCAAAAAUGAACUUAUUCAUAAAUACCACUGGUAGCUGUGAAUUUUUCCAUGCCCUUGCAGACCACCACUGACCCAAGGACCACAACUGGGGAACCACUGGUGCAUCCAGGGAACUGACACUUUGCAGCCAGGCUUGAGGGCCAAAUUCUGUGGUACCACAGGAAAGGUACCACUGCUGCUAGCUUCAGUAGACCAGUGCUGACUUGUGCCACUAGAUGAUUGCACAUCAGUUUGCUAAUGGCACAAACCAGCAGAUUAAGCGGUAAUACAAUGUGGAAAGGACAUACAAAGUGGUAGAGGAAAAUCGGGAAAUCCUCCAGUGUUUGAGGAGGAGAGUAAGAAAAAGAGGACGUUCUUUGGUAUAGAAAUCUGCACUGCCCUAGCAACCAGGGAGCCAGAGACCAGCGCUGCAUAGCGAUCUAGAUGCAUGGUCUGGGGAAAUUGUCAUCCUGAGACCCACGGAUUGAUAGCAGAAGUCCUGGCUCCUUCUGCCAUAAUCCCAACUUCAUCUGUGAUGCUAGUAAACAGGGAUUCAUGCUGUUUGCCCUAUUGGGCAUUUCAGAUGAGGCUAUAAAAACUUAGCACAUCGCCUUUGCAUAAUUAGCCAAAGACCCUGGCAAUAGCUUUUUUUUUGUAGAAGUAAAUAAUCAUACCUUACAUUUGACAUAUGCACAUGCACUGCUGAAGCCUACUCAGUUAACUCCCUCUAUCCAACAUAAAAAUGUCUUUCUUUCUGUGGUACUAUGCAUUUGCAAAGGCGCUACAGUAAUAUGAACUAUCCCUUGUCACUGCAAUUCUAUACGUGCCCCAGCAAUCAACUGGACUAAACGAGGAUUCCUGGGGUGAGAACAGAAGAGGAAAGAGGUUCAUCCUGAGAGCACCCUGAGGGUGAGCUGAGCAAAUGAUUCAGGCAGAAUAAUUUGACUGAUGUUUGCAAAAUUUUCUCUCUCACUGGACCUGAUGGCAGCUAGUCCCCUGUGAAUCCCUGACCUUCCUACUCUGCAUGCUGCCUGGGAUGGCUGAAAUAAACCACAGGACCUUUCUUUCCUGUUCCCCAAUUGUCAGAGCACGCAACAAUUCUGGUGUAAAUGUUGUUGCAUUUGCUUUCUACAAAUACUAUUAGCAAUGCCUCUGUAGCAUGCUCUCCUGAUAGCUGUGCCAGGAACUGCCUCCUUGUGAAUGAAGAUAGAAAGGAACACGCAUUCAGCAAAAGCCAAUUCCUUUGGCUGUUACGGGUGGCAUUUGCAAUUAGUUGGGUAUCUGAUCCAACCAUUCGGCUACAGUUAAUGGAGACAGACAGAUAUCUCUGGACAACAAGUCAACCUACCAGUCAAGCCCUGUUUUAGGGUGAGAUUAAUUUUUGCACUGACUGCAAAGGGAGCCUACAUGACUCAUUUAACACUAAAAGCCUGAUAAUAGGCUAAAUUUACAUGAGGAGAAUCAUACCUGAAAUACCUUGCUUGCCUCCUAAAUUCUAGUCUUGUGUAUUAACAAAAUCAUUGGGUAGAUGGAUACCAUGUGAUAUAUUGCCUCAUUUCUACCUCUUUGCUCCCAAACUCUCCUCUCAUUUUUUCCUUUCAGCCCUCCUGUUCCUCUGCCUUUUUCUCUUUCCACCUUCUCUCUGAUUGCUGAGCAGCUUUUUGACUUUUCCAUCAAUAUGUCUAAACAGCAUUUGAACCACUCUGUUCCCCUCUUCUCUCCUCCCUCCUGUUCCAAGUCAGGCAAGCUCAUCGAUCAGAGGAGCUCAGGAAAUAUCUGGUGUUUUGUUGUCAGGAUGAUAAUAACAUUGCAGUUGUGAAUGGGCUGCUGCAGGCCUGAUCAUGGACACCUGCAGGGUUUGUUUAAUUGCAUUUAAUGACAAAUCCUAUACAGAGGAGCAUUGCCAGAGAGAUUUAUUAUCCGCCAAAGAGGCAAAGCACAACAGCUCAAAAUAUAAUUUGCACUGA